UUUUCAACUUGCAAAGUCUUAUUCCUUUAAGCUAGCAGCAAGCAUGUUCAACGUAAUGGCAAUACAAUUACUUUUAAACUUAUACCUUUACUUUAUCAAUUCUCGUUGAAGAUGAAUAAACGUACAACAACUCUUUUAAGGCAGCUCAUCUUGAAUUUAAGCUAUUCAUCAAAUGGAGUGGAGGCAGCAAUGAAACCUAUAUGUAUCAAUGCAGCUACCACAAAGGGCAGCAAGCAAUGUCAUUUUCAGAUUCUAUAAUAGCAGUAUAGGUAUUAGAAGAAGAAACGUAAUAUUUUCUGUUUGGGGGCAGCAACGUUCUAUCAACUCUUAUAAUCCUUGAAUAAACCCCUUAGUAGCAGCUGCUCAUGGAUGUAGUGCAUUUGGAGCUCUUAGUAACUUCAUCCUAUAUAAAGAAAAGUUGUAAUUUCCAGCAAGAAUUUUAAGAGGUCAAGCUUGCUAGUAAGGCUUUCCUUCCAAUUAUUGAGGCUAAAGGGGCGACGAGGCGAAAAGGAUUCAUGAAUAGUCGCUGACAGGUACAGACGCACAGUUUGGUGAUCCUUCCGUUUAGGACAUCCCCUUCUGCUGUUUGGAGUGCUCUUCUCAUUUCAGAGCAUACAUUUUGGUAUAUAAUUGUUCGCUAUGUGUAUAUGUAUUUGUUCAGGGGUACGGCGGGGCCCUGUCCCGCCAUAUGAUUCGUUUGGUCUGUUUAGAGGUCUGUAGACUUAUUUGUGGGUGUGUGUGCCUACUUCUGCUCAGUUGUGUUUAUAUGACUCUAUUCGUUAUGGCAGCCUUGUCGGCGUGCGUUUGUAUAUGUGUUUUGGGCCGUUGUGCCAUUUGACAGCCUUGUCGGCUUUUGAUAUAUUUGACAGCCUUGUCGGCUUUUGACGUA